GACGAACGCUGGCGGCGUGCUUAACACAUGCAAGUCGUACGGUAAGGCCCUUUCGGGGGUACACGAGUGGCGAACGGGUGAGUAACACGUGAGUAACCUGCCCACAACUUUGGGAUAACGCUAGGAAACUGGUGCUAAUACUGGAUAUGUGCUCCUGCUGCAUGGUGGGGGUUGGAAAGCUCCGGCGGUUGUGGAUGGACUCGCGGCCUAUCAGCUUGUUGGUGGGGUAGUGGCCUACCAAGGCGGCGACGGGUAGCCGGCCUGAGAGGGUGACCGGCCACAUUGGGACUGAGAGACGGCCCAGACUCCUACGGGAGGCAGAAGUGGGGAAUAUUGCACAAUGGGCGCAAGCCUGAUGCAGCAACGCCGCGUGCGGAAUGACGGCCUUCGGGUUGUAAACCGCUUUCAGCAGGGACGAAGCUUUUUGUGACGGUACCUGCAGAAGAAGCACCGGCUAACUACGUG
rnacentral:rRNA from 1 species